rnacentral:rRNA from 1 species
UACAGAGGUCCCAAGCGUUGUUCGGAUUCACUGGGCGUAAAGGGUGCGUAGGCGGUCGGGUAAGUCUGACGUGAAAUCUUCAAGCUCAACUUGGAAACUGCGUCGGAUACUAUUCGGCUGGAGGAAUGGAGGGGAGACUGGAAUACUUGGUGUAGCAGUGAAAUGCGUAGAUAUCAAGUGGAACACCAGUGGCGAAGGCGAGUCUCUGGACAAAUCCUGACACUGAGGCACGAAAGCUAGGGGAGCAAACAGG